GUUUGAUCCUGGCUCAGAUUGAACGCUGGCGGCGUGCCUAACACAUGCAAGUCGAGCGGUAACAGGUGUAGCAAUACAUGCUGACGAGCGGCGAACGGGUGAGUAAUGCUUUGGAAUCUUCCAAGUAGUGGGGAAUAACCAGUCGAAAGAUUGGCUAAUACCGCAUACGUCUGUAAAGGGAAAGCGGGGGCUCGUAAGACCUCGCGCUAUUGGAUGAGCCAAAGUCGGAUUAGCUAGUUGAUGGGGUAAUGGCCUACCAAGGCGACAAUCCGUAGCUGGUCUGAGAGGACGACCAGCCACACCGGAACUGAGACACGGUCCGGACUCCUACGGGAGGCAGCAGUGGGGAAUAUUGGACAAUGGGGGAAACCCUGAUCCAGCGACGCCGCGUGUGUGAAGAAGGCCUGCGGGUUGUAAAGCACUUUUAGUGGGGACAAAAAGCUACGGACUAAUAUUCUGUGGUCUUGAUUUAACCCAAAGAAAAAGCACCGGCUAACUCUGUGCCAGCAGCCGCGGUAAUACAGAGGGUGCGAGCGUUAAUCGGAAUUACUGGGCGUAAAGCGCGCGUAGACGGUUUUGUAAGUCAGAUGUGAAAUCCCUGGGCUCAACCUGGGAACUGCAUUUGAAACUGCAUGGCUAGAGUAUCGAAGAGGGAAGUGGAAUUUCCGGUGUAGCGGUGAAAUGCGUAGAUAUCGGAAGGAACACCAGUGGCGAAAGCGACUUCCUGGUCGAAUACUGACGUUCAUGUGCGAAAGCGUGGGGAGCAAACAGGAUUAGAUACCCUGGUAGUCCACGCCAUAAACGAUGACAACUAGAUGUUGGGAGGGUCUGCCUCUCGGUGUCGCAGCUAACGCGUUAAGUUGUCCGCCU
rnacentral:rRNA from 1 species